UGCCUUUUUUAAUGUCAAGCGUUGCACAUAAGAUGUUCUGCCGUUGCUAUGCAACUGCUAAAUCCAAUAUUUAAUAUUAAUAAAAACUGAGUGGCAUUAACAUCAGUGAGAACAGUGGGCUAGCAAACUAUGAUUGUACAAUAUCCAAGCUGUAAAACUUGGCAGGGAUUUCGGUGUGCUGUUGCAUGCAUGACAAGCUGUGGGGUAUGCGUCAUUGGCAGUUACUAUUUUAAGAGUGGCGAGUUUGGAGGCGAGUCUCUAAGCUCCCUUGAUCCUAACAACAAAAAAAGUGAAAGGGGCUGAGGUUGGUUGGCCGGGUGAGUCCGGUGGUCAGGCCAGGCACGGAUGGUGAUGGAUCGUCAUCCAUGAAUAAUGGUGGAGGGGUCAGAACGAUAAACAUGAGGGUCAAAACCCUGACUCUUCUAUUUUUCUUCCCCCAGGUCAGGUGGGUGUGCCCUUCCCCAUUGUUCCUGCCACUUCCUGAAGCCUGCACUGGCUUUCUUUGGAGGCAGUACUGCUUGCCUGCCUGACAAGGGUUUGAAAGUAUUCUAGAAGGGCUGUUUGGACCUGGAUUAUUAAAAGAUCUCAGUUUGUUUAAAGACUGUGAGCCCGAAG